GACGAACGCUGGCGGCGUGCUUAACACAUGCAAGUCGAACGGAAAGGCCCUGCUUUUGUGGGGUGCUCGAGUGGCGAACGGGUGAGUAACACGUGAGUAACCUGCCCUUGACUUUGGGAUAACUUCAGGAAACUGGGGCUAAUACCGGAUAGGAGCUCCUGCUGCAUGGUGGGGGUUGGAAAGUUUCGGCGGUUGGGGAUGGACUCGCGGCUUAUCAGCUUGUUGGUGGGGUAGUGGCUUACCAAGGCUUUGACGGGUAGCCGGCCUGAGAGGGUGACCGGCCACAUUGGGACUGGGAUACGGCCCAGACCCCUACGGGAGGCAGCAGUGGGGAAUAUGGCACAAGGGGCGGAAGCCGGAGGCAGCAACGCCGCGUGCGGGAUGACGGCCUUCGGGUUUUAAACCGCUUUCGCCUGUGACGAAGCGUGAGUGACGGUAAUGGGUAAAGAAGCACCGGCUAACUACGUG
rnacentral:rRNA from 1 species